AGAACUGUUAUAACUUUUUCUACAUAACUCCAAUUAAGAUGAUUCUGGUGGACACAGAAAGCUCUUUUAAAGAUGAAGAGAUCGUAUCGUUUAAGACCUCAAAUUAGUCUCCGAAGUUUUGACGAUAAUUUUUUUGAAUAUUGGGACAACCCAAAAAGGAAAGCAUGUCAUGAAUAAUGAGACGGAGGGAGUAUAUUUUUUCUUUUUAUUUUCUUUUUCUUUAUCUUUUUUAUUUUGUUUUAUUUGUUUUUAAAAUUAUUAAAUUCGACUAACUAUAAAAUAUUUAAUAUGCACAUCACAUUAAAGAUCACAAUAAGAACUUUAAUUUGAUAUAUUUUAUGUAAAUGUUUGAUUUAAAAUGUAAAAGUUAUAUUUAUUUAAAGAUUAAAAUUUUAAAACAUUCUCUCUCCUCUCUCAUAGUAUUUUUUUAAUAAGUCUAUUUUU
rnacentral:lncRNA from 1 species